rnacentral:sRNA from 1 species
GCUAUGGCUAGAACGGGCACCUGUUCGAAUCAUUAUGUACACGCGUGGACAUCUCCGAACGAGCAAGUAUCUCCCAACAAACGUGUCUCAGUCUAGAUUGAUGUAGUAUGAGAGCCAGGGAGAUUUUGUGCCGUGUUUUCGUGUCUGUGAUUGUUCUUAACUUUCCCGUCUGUCACUCUCUUCCUGUUGUCGUGAACUCUAGGCCAGGAAACAUUUACCACGUCUUUCGAGGACCAAUGUCUGGUUUAGCCAGGAGCCCAGUUGUGAAAACGAAAACCAAUUCUACCUGUGUUGAGAAAUGUGGUGACAAAUAUUACAUGUGCAGUGUUGAAACAUGCCCGGAUGAAGAUGCAGUUUGCAAUCAGUACUGCACUGGUGUUUUUCGUUACUGUUUUAAAACAUGCAGUUUGGAAUCACCAACACCAUCACCUUUACAAAUACUUCCGGUCAUGCGCAAUGAUACCAGCAUUGCUACUAAGGUUGACAACGAUACGGACUCUCUCAGUCCAACCAUGGGAACAUGGGUAUUUGAUGAAAAGUUGUACAAAGCAAUGAAGAGAAAUAACUCAAACUCAGGCAAUAGUUUUCAUGGAAAUCUUUACAAUAAGGCGGGGAUGAAUUUAUCUGCCAUUCAAAUUCCAACCAGAAUACACAGUCUACCUCAAAUGCAGUUUGCAAGACUUGCAAGAUGAUAUUCACUUUAUAACAAGACUUGACGACAAUUCAUUAAAAUGAUGUUUCCCUUUCUCAACUUACAAUUAUAUUAACCGCAUAUAUGUAUACACAUGUUAUGCAUUGUUGUUAAAUUGCAAUUGCAGUCGUUGGUUAUAGUUAGCAGUAGAUGUAAUUUUAGAUAGUGAAAAUCUUAUUACAAUUAGUAGAAUAAGUUAUUUUAGUUACCGAAAAAAAGUUAUUAUAUUUAGUAAUUGCUGUCAUUUUAGAUAAUGAAAAUCUUAUAAAUACAGUUACUUCUAGAUGAUACUUGUAUUUUAGAAACUUAAAGUUUUAUCAAUUGUCAUUUUGAUUCAAACGAAGACGACCAGUUACUGUAGAACAAAGAAAUCCAUGUAGAUGUUUAUUCUAUAUAUUAAAUAUUAUAUAUUAUUAAAACGAUAACACAAUAUUU